GUUGGUGGAGGCAGGAAGGAAUUAACCAGAGAAGCGGGUAAACCAGGAAGGACAGCAGAGAUGGGAACCGACUACACCUGAAGUCAGUCUCAGCAGGAGAAGAGAAGGGGGCGGCAGUGACAGAAGCACACACACAGCGUGAGGAAGGAUGAACUGACCUGGCCAAGGCCAGGCAAAUACUAAUCACCAAGAAGGGGUAGGAAACCAGAUUCGUUGAGUCUCAAACCCUCCUUCCGCCACAAGAAAAGAGAUGCGAUCACGUACCCAAGAAGACAAAGAGGAAACAUCUCUAUGGUCGCGCAGAGGACACCUUCCACAGGUCUCCCAACCCCCUCCAGCACGGUUCCCUCCGCCCCUCCCCAGGAGAGCACCGACCAGCCUAAGGGGUUCGGGACACCGCCUGUCUCUUGCUGUGUGAGCCUGGGUACACUCCUUUGUCAAACCUCAAGUUUCCUCAGUUUUAGAAAGGGGACAAUGAUGGGACCACCACACUAGAUUACUGAGAGGAUUUAACAGCGCGAUCUAGGAAGAGCCCUUAGUAACUGCUAAAUGUAAAGACUCCCAUCAACGA